rnacentral:rRNA from 1 species
ACUGAAUAGAUACCCGGGUAGUCCACGCCCUAAACGAUGCGAACUGGACGUUGGGCUCAAUUAGGAGCUCAGUGUCGAAAGCUAACGCGUUAAGUUCGCCGCCUGGGGAGUACGGUCGCAAGACUGAAACUCAAAGGAAUUGACGGGGGCCCGCACAAGCGGUGGAGUAUGUGGUUUAAAUUCGAUGCAACGCGCAGAACCUUACCUGGCCUUGACAUCCACGGAAUCCUUAGAGAUAGAGGAGUGCCUUCGGGAACCGUGAGACAGGUGCUGCAUGGCUGUCGUCAGCUCGUGUCGUGAGAUGUUGGGUUAAGUCCCGCAACGAGCGCAACCCUUGUCCUUAGUUGCCAGCGAGUAAUGUCGGGAACUCUAAGGAGACUGCCGGUGACAAACCCGGGANGGUAA